CCUACGGGAGGCAGCAGUAGGGAAUAUUGCUCAAUGGGGGAAACCCUGAAGCAGCAACGCCGCGUGGAGGAUGAAGGUUUUCGGAUUGUAAACUCCUUUUGUUAGAGAAGAUAAUGACGGUAUCUAACGAAUAAGCACCGGCUAACUCCGUGCCAGCAGCCGCGGUAAUACGGAGGGUGCAAGCGUUACUCGGAAUCACUGGGCGUAAAGAGCGCGUAGGCGGGAUAGCAAGUCAGAUGUGAAAUCCUAGGGCUUAACCAUAGAACUGCAUUUGAAACUGGUAUUCUAGAGUAUGGGAGAGGUAGGUGGAAUUCUUGGUGUAGGGGUAAAAUCCGUAGAGAUCAAGAGGAAUACUCAUUGCGAAGGCGACCUGCUAGAACAUAACUGACGCUGAUGCGCGAAAGCGUGGGGAGCAAACAGGAUUAGAUACCCCUGUAGUC
rnacentral:rRNA from 1 species